ACCUCGGGGUUGGGAGGGAGGAUGGAGAGCGCAGCCGGGACCUAAAGCAGCGAGGGCGCCCGGAGAGUGAUAAACAAAACAAAACAAAACGGAAAGGUGAGCUUUUGUAGGGAAAAACAGCGACAAAAAAAUCGGUUGGCUGCUUGGAUUCAAAGCGUCGUGCUUGCUGCCUUUGACCCCCGCGAUGGGCAGUCGGCCGGAGACCAGGAAGGAUUCUGAUGUUAAUGAUUAAAGUUCAGUUCUGGCACCUUUCCCGACAGAGCGAGAUUCAGCUGCAGACAUGUAAAAUCGAAAGUAUGCAAGUAGUCUGAAAGUUUUCCUAAGGGAGCUAAUUUUAUCCCUGAGAUAUUAGCUACCCGCUGUCCGUAAGUCAAAGGACUCUGUUUCCUGGUGCUCCUGAAGUAUUUUGCAGUCCCUCGGACCUCCUCUCCCCUAAGCAAAGGCAGUUGACAUGAUAAUGCGAACUGGGUCAUCUUCUCAUGGUCUCUGGUUUCUUGCUUUUGGGAAGUUCGACCCCGUAGUAGUGAAAUCCAGGGGUGCAGAAAACUUCAGUAGGCAUGGGCAGAUGGGUUGUUUGCCACAUUCCCUGCCAUAAAUGUAAGAUCUGGCAUUUUAAGCAGUGAAGGAAGAAGCAGAGAGGGUCAUUGUAAACUUGUUUUCUGCAGAAAGCAAGUUCUAUAUUGAACUGCGUUUUCUGUGUGACCAUGGGGAUGGUAUCUAUGCCUUGGAUCAGCUGAAGUCAGAAAUGCACUGAACUUCUGACGUCUGAUCUGUUGCACCUAGGCUGAUAGUAUCAGGCUUGCAGUGAGGCAGUAAAUCACUUGGUGAUGCACCUUUGGGAUGAUUCACCCAUCAUUUGGCAUUAAAUUGUCUUCCUUUCAGGAUAUAAUUAAAUUUAAUUAAUUAAAAUCUUUUGAGGUAAAUCAUUCAUGUUUGAGUUCUGAAUUUGGUGUUCCUAGAGGUAUAAAUGUCUCUCUGUGAAAUACGUUCCCACCUUGCACAGUUUAAGUGAAGUCAUUGGGUAAACCAAGGCUGUCAGUCACAGACAGACAGCUACGUGAGGAAGACGUGCACAUUAAAAGAAAAUUCGAGCUUUAAUAUCAGUUAUACAAUUUCAAGUCUUCCAUAGCAACCCUGAAUUGUUCUAAAGUUGUCCUGUGUGUGCAGGAUAAGUUGCUGUAUUCACAUCAAGGCUCCUUAAUGUGAUCUGGAGCUGUUAAUUAUGUUACGGAGCUGUCACACUAUUAACCACUCUUUCUGUGCUAUGCUGGCUGCAGAUUGCUCCCGAUCGGUGCCACCAGGAAACACAAGCAUGCCAUGGAAGCCGAGCUCCUUGUGGCUUUAUUGCCGUGGAUGAACUUUCAGCCAUGCAGGGGUGGCCUUUCGCUGACUGCCGUUCUGCCAGCACUGUCCCCAGCAGCUCCCCAAAGGCGCUGGGGCCUGCUUCUCUCUGGAGAGCCUAGAGCCGGCUCGGUGCGCCCGGGAAAAAUGUGACCCCCCUGGAUCCUCUCCCAAUGCCUUUAAAACCUGCAAGAACUUCUCUCAUCUAAGUCAGGACUGUGGAUCUAGAUGGACAAUCAAGGAAGAAUUACAAGCUCCAAUGAAUUUCUGUUCCCUUGACAAUAAAGUCAGCAUAGCCUAGAUUCUGACUUUGUGAUAAAAAUAAAAUAUACUUUUUUUAUUCUUUUAGGUUAAAUUGUGAACUUUCACACUGUGCAAUCUAAGGAUGCAGCCAGCAUCCAGUACAGCCACAGGUGCAUGUGGCUGGCUUCAUGCUCGCAAGCAGAAGGCCAUUCCCUAUUCUGCCACAAACUGCUUCUGCAGCCCUAGGGAGCAUUUUUAGCUUCUCUGUAUCUCACUUUCCCCCAAGUGAAGAAGGGGUAGUAGAACUUCAUGACAUUCGAAACUAGAUGUAAGUCUGUUGUGCUAGUGAUUAUACAAAGCCUGAAAAUGUAUAAUAAAAACUAAUUUGA